GCCAGUAGCCAUAUCAUUCACCAUGCAACUCACAACUGGCAACCCAUUGAACCUAAGCAGGUGUGAGCCUGGUCAGUACCUGGAUGGGAGACCUCCUGGGAAAAACUAAGGUUGCUGCUGGAA
rnacentral:rRNA from 1 species